rnacentral:rRNA from 1 species
UACGUAGGGCGCAAGCGUUGUCCGGAAUUAUUGGGCGUAAAGAGCUCGUAGGCGGCUUGUCGCGUCGAUUGUGAAAGCCCGGGGCUUAACCUCGGGUCUGCAGUCGAUACGGGCUGCUAGAGUGUGGUAGGGGAGAUCGGAAUUCUUGGUGUAGCGGUGAAAUGCGUAGAUAUCAAGAGGAACACCUGAGGUGAAGACGGGUGUCUGGGCUGACACUGACGCUGAGUGCGCGAAAGCUAGGGUAGCAAACGGG